ensembl:lncRNA
CCCAAACAGGCAUCCACAAAUAAAUAAAUAAAUAAAUAAAUAAAUAGUAAAGUUUUCAGUAAAUAGAGAAAGUAAAGGAGAAAAAUGCCUUUUUUUUUUUUUCUUCACCUUUUUUUCUUUUUUUUUUCCAGUUAGAUUUUUCUUUGCACAAAAAUAAUGUCAUUGGAGAAAAAUGAAUUGUGGGCAAAGUUCUCUAACAGGAAAAGCAGUUUGAUUCAAUGUUAUUUCUGAUGUUCGCAUUCUAUUCCUUCUCUAGCCUUCACAACCAGUCACCAUAGCAACAAAAGGGCUGAAAAGUCCUCUGCCCAUUUCAUAAUCAUUUAAUCAUUCAACAACCAAAGAAAUUAGGAACGGGAGAGUAGAGUAAGAAGAAAUACCAAAAGCAAAAUAGACUUGAGUGUCAAAAUAAUAAAAAAUACACAUGUAUACACACAUAUAUAUGAAGAGUAAAGAGAAAUGAUCAACAGGAUCUUUGUAUGGACACAGACAUUGGUUUAAGCCUCUCACUGUACUGAGUCACAGCAUCUCUCCUGAGGGAGACCAUCUGAUACGUUCCUCAAGUUACUGAAAAAAGCAUAGAGAAUCCAUGUCAAAAGUCCAGACAAUGUGCAGAGGAGGAAGGCUGGGCCUACAAGUCUCUGAAGCUCUCAACAUAAAUCCACUUAAAGGAUGCUCCAGCAAAAGUGGCAUCUCUGUCUCCUUCAAGAAGAAGGUUAUACACUCCCCUGAUAAUCACAACAGUAUUGUUGAGCAUCUGGUAGCCUGGAGUAAUAUUUCCUUCUCCCUGAAAGAUAACACUGUAACAGACAGCUUUCCAUCCAUCAGUGAGGUUAAAAGCACUGCUUUGAAACACUGGACCAGUGGGAAGUUCAGCUUGAAAAGGACAGGACAUUCUGAAUUGCCAUAAAAUUAAUGUAAGAAUUUGGUUGGUCCAACCCUUUAUCCUCCAGCCUAGGUUAAUAAUUUUGAAAUAUUUCUGAAACAUGCACUGUUAUAUCCCUGCUCAGAACAGGAGCCAGUAUGGUACCCUUUGAGAUAGGAAACCCAAGUUUUAUUUUGUUUCACUAAGCAACUUCCACUGUUGCCAGAGAGUCUGUCUUGACACUCUGUUGUUUUCUUCACAGCCUGAGUGAGAAGUUUGCCCACACAUCGACAGAAGGCAGCUCUGUCAGAGUGAAUUUUGAAAAAGGACAUCUGAUUAGAGUUCCUGUUAUCACUUAGAUCAGAACAGAAAUUUGUUUUCUUGUCUCUCUGUCCUUCUCUCUCUCUUUUAUUUAUUUAUUUAAACAGAGAAAAAGCUUAAACAGGCCAGGCAGGCAAGAGAGGAUAAGAAUUUGUUUCUCAUUAUCCAAAUAUUUCCUAAACUGCAAUGCUUUGAAUAAGACUGAGUAUUUUAGCCACUGCCUUAUCCUUUUUGAAGAGAACUAAUUAUGGCACAUACCUUACAAAUAUUGCUUUUGCUUACAUGCCCUACAUGAUGUUCACCUCUUUUCACAAUAGCGUAAGAUUGCCAGUAUAGUAAUUGUACCAUUCACUACAGCUCUAUAUUUCUUUUUUCCUCAUAACAGGAUAGUGAGAGCCAGUGCAGCUACGAGACAGAAUUUGACACCCCAAAACUUAAUAAAUGAUGUCUGUCAGGAAAAAAAAAAAAGGAU